UUCCUAUACAUACUGGGCAGCCGCUUUUCCCAGACCACGCCUGGAAACAGUGGCACCCAAACCCAAAUGAGCACAGGCUCCAGGGCAUGAGGGCUCAGCAGUUGUGGCAUAUGAGUCUAGUUACCCCAUGGCAUGUGGAAUCUUCCCAGACCACGGAUCAAACCCAUGUCCCCUGCUUUGGCAGGUGGAUUCUUAACCACUGGAACACCAGAAGACCUUCAUGAAGCUUUUCCCAAUCCUGACCAGAGUGCCUCGGAAUCACCUGGAAGGCUUGUUAAAACACAGGUUGCAGAAAUUCCUUCCUCUCUGACUGCUUGGGAACUGAAACAUCAGCUUUCCCCUGUCUUUGGACUUAAACGGAAACAUUGGCUCUUCCUGGGUCAUGAGCCUGCCAAUCUUUGGACAGGAACUCCAUCAUCAGCUCUCCUGGGUCUCUAGCUUGCUGACUCACUCUGCAGAUCUUGGGACUUGUUGGUCUCUGUAAUGACAUGAGCCAAUGUAAUAAAUCUCUUUCGAUAUGUAUAAACAGCCUAUUACCUCUGCUUCUCUGGAGAGCCCUGACUAAAACAGAUUUUCUGAUUCAGUAGGUCUGGGGCCAGGCUUGGAGGAAGUGCAUUCUAAAGAGUUCCCAAAUGAUGCUGAUGCUGCUGGUUCAGAGACCUCACUUUGAGAACUUUGCUGUAGGCUCAGGGAA
ensembl:lncRNA